CCUACGGGCGGCUGCAGUGAGGAAUAUUGGUCAAUGGACGAGAGUCUGAACCAGCCAAGUAGCGUGAAGGAUGACUGCCCUAUGGGUUGUAAACUUCUUUUAUAUGGGAAUAAAAUGUUCCACGUGUGGGAUUUUGUAUGUACCAUAUGAAUAAGGAUCGGCUAACUCCGUGCCAGCAGCCGCGGUAAUACGGAGGAUCCGAGCGUUAUCCGGAUUUAUUGGGUUUAAAGGGAGCGUAGGUGGAUUGUUAAGUCAGUUGUGAAAGUUUGCGGCUCAACCGUAAAAUUGCAGUUGAGACUGGCAGUCUUGAGUACAGUAGAGGUGGGCGGAAUUCGUGGUGUAGCGGUGAAAUGCUUAGAUAUCACGAAGAACUCCGAUUGCGAAGGCAGUUCACUGGACUGCAGCUGACACUGAGGCUCGAAAGUGUGGGUAUCAAACAGGAUUAGAUACCCCUGUAGUC
rnacentral:rRNA from 1 species